AGGAAGUAAAUAUUUAUUAAACAAAUCAAUAUAACAUAAAAUAAAAUAAUAUAGAAUGGUGUUGAUUCAUUAAAGUAUAACAUAUUCAUCAUUCAGUGACAAAAUUGCAAAUUAUAUUAAUAUAAUUUAAAAUAAUUGGUAACAAGACAAAAAUGACAAUAUAAUAAAUAAAGUGAAUAAAGUAAGUACAAUUUGUAUUAUUAUAAUAGAUAUCCACUCUUAUAGAUGUAAAUAUU